rnacentral:rRNA from 1 species
UACGAAGGGUGCAAACGUUGCUCGGAAUUAUUGGGCGUAAAGCGCACGUAGGCGGCAUUGCAAGUCGGAUGUGAAAUCCCUCGGCUUAACCAAGGAAGUGCAUCCGAAACUGCAGUGCUUGAGUACUUAAGAGGAUCGCGGAAUUCCCGGUGUAGAGGUGAAAUUCGUAGAUAUCGGGGAGGAACACCAGUGGCGAAGGCGGCGAUCUGGGAAGGUACUAGACGCUGAGGUGCGAAAGCGUGGGGAGCAAACAGG